UACAGAGGUGGCAAGCGUUGUUCGGAAUUACUGGGCGUAAAGGGCGCGUAGGCGGCCUUCUAAGUCAGACGUGAAAUCCCCCGGCCUAACCUGGGAACUGCGUCUGAUACUGGGAGGCUUGAGUAUGGGAGAGGGAUGUAGAAUUCCAGGUGUAGCGGUGAAAUGCGUAGAUAUCUGGAGGAAUACCGGUGGCGAAGGCGGCAUCCUGGACCAUUACUGACGCUGAGGCGCGAAAGCUAGGGGAGCAAACGGG
rnacentral:rRNA from 1 species